ACCCCAGCAGGAUGAGAACAGCCUCAGGCGGGGAGCUCCAGGAAGCCAUCAGAACUGUCUGAGACCAACCUCCAGGGCAGGCCAGGGGAUUUAGGCACUGGCUAAAGAUAAAAAAAAAUGUCCAGGCUAGCAGGACUAUGAUGGUGAGAUGAUCCAUCUCACAUCAAAGGAAAGCAAAUGACCAAGCUUCCAAGCUGAACAUGGCACCAAGCAACUGCGUAAAACACCAGCGAGCUCUAUCCCAAUAGCAGUUUGUUAAUAUGGAUGAAGUGGUUCUCUGAAGUUUCCUUAUUUACCUAAAGUCCAGACUCACCAAAGAAGAAAACAAGUAUUAAUACCUCUGAUCCUGAUCUGAUUAAUUCCCUGAGUUUUCAUCAACUUAAUUCCUAUCACAGGAGAAAAGACUGAAGUUUGUCAACACACCUGGACAGACUUUGGUGACAAAUCUUUGUCUGCUCUGUGGGCCCAACAGACUUUGCCCCAGGCCAUUGUAUGUUCUCCAAGUCCAUUCUUUUCCCUAAAAAUCAUAUACUGUCCCCCAAAUGGCCACAUUUUCCCCAUCUCCCCUCCCCUAUGAAGAAGGGUAUAUAAGCAUCUAUGCCCACUGGGUUAUUGGGUAAUUAUUCUUUUGUGAUUUCCCCAUGCUAUGCACAUUAAAAUAAAAAU